rnacentral:rRNA from 1 species
UACGGGGGGGGCAAGCGUUGUUCGGAAUUACUGGGCGUAAAGGGCUCGUAGGCGGUUUGUUGCGUCGGGAGUGAAAACUUACAGCUUAACUGUGAGCGUGCUUCCGAUACGGGCAGACUUGAGGUAUUCAGGGGAGAACGGAAUUCCUGGUGUAGCGGUGAAAUGCGCAGAUAUCAGGAGGAACACCAAUGGCGAAGGCAGCUCGCUGGAACGGUACUGACGCUGAGGCGCGAAAGCGUGGGGAGCGAACAGG